rnacentral:tRNA from 1 species
GGGAGUAUAGGUAAGUGUUAGAGCACAUGCUUAGCAAGCAUGAGGUCUCCUGGGUUCAAUCCCCAGUACCACCA